GCUAAAAAACAGAGUCGUUCCAAAGUUAACGAUGAAGAAGAUCGAUCAAGAGAACCAAAUAACCAAUAGAAGGGAGGAGUUUCUGGUGAGCUCUC